GCCUGGGUGGCCUAGCCGGAUAAGUGUCUGACUUCAGCUCAGGUCAUGAUCUCAUGAUUCGUGAGUUCGAGCCUCACGUCGGGCU
rnacentral:tRNA from 1 species